AAUCAACGCUGGCGGCGUGCCUAACACAUGCAAGUCGAACGAGAAAGGGUAGCAAUACCUGAGUAAAGUGGCGCACGGGUGAGUAACACGUGACUAACCUACCCUGGAGUGGGGGAUAACUGAGGGAAACCUUAGCUAAUACCGCAUAACACCUACGGGUCAAAGGAGCAAUUCGCUUUGGGAGGGGGUCGCGGCCGAUUAGUUAGUUGGCGGGGUAAUGGCCCACCAAGACUGUGAUCGGUAUCCGGCCUGAGAGGGCGCACGGACACACUGGAACUGAAACACGGUCCAGACUCCUACGGGAGGCAGCAGUGGGGAAUUUUGCGCAAUGGGGGAAACCCUGACGCAGCAACGCCGCGUGGAGGAUGAAGUACUUCGGUACGUAAACUCCUUUCGAUCGGGACGAUAAUGACGGUACCGAGAGAAGAAGCCCCGGCUAACUUCGUGCCAGCCGCCGCAGUAACAC
rnacentral:rRNA from 1 species